rnacentral:lncRNA from 1 species
AAGCUCCUAGCAACAAGAUAGAGGAAGGAGAGAAGUCUCUGCUUAUACCUUUUGAAGAGAUUUUUAUGGUGUCACAAGUGGGAAAGAGUUGCUAUUGGCAUCUAGUGAACGGAAGCCAAGGAUACUGCUCUAGAUUCUAAAAUGUCCAUGACAGCCCUUUACAACACAGAAUUUUCCAGCCACAGACGUCAUCAGUGCCCUCGUCUGUAAACCCUUCCAUCGCAUGCCACCUGAUCAGAGCAAGGACUUGGAAAGCCUCUCACCGAAACCAAAGACGGCGUACGAACUCCUGGAGCCUUGGAGGGUGGUGGUAAAGAGCCCAGCAGAGCUCACACUCUGACCUGGAGACGCUCCUUCCAGCAAUCCAUAAAGAUACACAGACAAGGAUAAUGGCUAACAUACUGCUGCUAAAAAAGAGAGUGGAAAGGAACCUGAAAUACCCAUCAAUAGAAUGGAUACAUACAUAAAAAUGCUAUGGAGCUAUUCUACAAAGUUGAAUUAAUACGGAAUGGUAUCAAUAAGAAAGUAAAAAAGCCACAAUUCUCCAGGUGAUAUGAGCCUAUUAACAUAUGCAUGCGUGCAUAUGCAUGUGUAUACAAUUAUUGAUAAAUGACAACAGUCUGG